UACGGGGGGGGCAAGCGUUGUUCGGAAUUACUGGGCGUAAAGGGCUUGUAGGUGGCCAACUAAGUCAGACGUGAAAUCCCUCGGCUUAACCGGGGAACUGCGUCUGAUACUGGAUGGCUUGAGAUUGGGAGAGGGAUGCGGAAUUCCAGGUGUAGCGGUGAAAUGCGUAGAUAUCUGGAGGAACACCGGUGGCGAAGGCGGCAUCCUGGACCAACACUGACGCUGAGGAGCGAAAGCGUGGGGAGCGAACAGG
rnacentral:rRNA from 1 species